rnacentral:piRNA from 1 species
UGAGUGAUAAGAUUGAGUAGUCUCAGAGU